rnacentral:lncRNA from 1 species
AGAGAAAACCUGAGGAGGAGUCUCUGCUUCCACUGCUGCAUUGCAGAGGUCAGAGGAAAACAGUAAAACUCUGAAAUUUAAUGGUAAUGGAGAAUAUCCAUUUCAGUCUGUAAGUGGUGUCCAGAGCAGAUUAAGGAAAAAGAAGAGUCAUAUUUCAAAGGCAAAGGAGACCCUGGAUAUGCUGGUGUGUGCUCUUGAAGGGAAAAUCAGUAUGUCAGGACUCAGGUAUUUUGUAGCACCUUUAUUUUCUCUUGCAGGUGGUGACAGAGUACAGAAGUGGCCAGAGUCCAGCCAGCUUCAAUAGAUCAAUUCCUUUUAUCAGGUAAUGAUAUUGAAUAUCCUUAAUAUUACAUGAAACAAAGUAAAUGCCUGUUAGAGAGGGCUGGGUUACUGCUAAACUAAUGAAUGUCCUGUGUCUCUUCUGCACCUGUGGGUAUUUACUCAGGUCUCUGCACCAACCGGCAUUUUUCUCUUUCCCAUCUUGGCUUCAGUUGCUUUGAACCAAAAGACACCUUCACAAAUCAAAGGCCUUCAUGUGCAGUCUUUCCUGGUGACAGAUGCAACAAGUUUUGUGACAGGAAAAUGUACAAGAAGGAAAUGUGUGUGGGCACACAUCUGGAAGGAGGACUAAAAUUCUGGGCUGAAUCUAACAUCCAGUGCAAGGGAGAGUGCACAUCUGUCCUGAAGCAGAACAAGAGGAGGGUUUCAUACACCACUAUUUGCUCUACCAUCAAUCAAGAGCAGCCACCUACUAACAGGAACAACUUCAAUUGCAAGGACAGGUGAGGACCCACCUGGAGAAAGCAGGGAAAGACCUGGACUUCCUGAAAUAAUUAUCAGCACAGGCAAAUGAAGAUACUCUGUGGCUGAACAGACUAUCACAGAUUCUAUGCAGAAGGUCUCAGUGGGUGAGAAAGCAAGGAAGACUCCUCAUGCUUUGCACAGCUAUCCAGGUUGGCAGAGGAUGAAAAAUGGCCAGGAAGCGAUGAUGAAGCGAUUUCUGAUCGGACUUGUGGCUGGAGCUUUGCAGCAAGGAAUUUCCCCAGCAGGUGCUGGUUGCAAUCAGACAUUGACAAAUAUCUUUGGCCAUGCAGGAGUCACUCUGAGGGACACAGUGCAGGUAGUGUGCCAUGCUGGUGGGAGCACGUGGAGAUUCGUGCAAUGCAUCUCUGGUGACUGGCUCUUAAUGACAGAGAAGUGUCCAUAUCUCUCUGAUGUCACCACAUCACAACAAGCAACAAAGUCUUCUGUAGCUGGACUUGUUUAUAAGAUGCUCAACAGAGUUUUCUUCUUUUAGUAUCAAAAAUCAUAGAAUCAUAGAAUCAUAAAUUUGUUUGGGUUGGAAGAUCAAACCCUGAAGAUCAUUCAGUUCCAACCCCCCUACCAUGGGCAGGGACACCUCCCACUAGAUGAGGUUGCUCUAAGCCUCAUGCAGCCUGGCCUUGAUAUACAAAAUGUAUGAUAUUUUAUUUCUAUAUUGUGUUAUUUACCUGUAGGAAUUAAAUUGCAUUUCUAUCCCCAUUCUGAAAGUUUGUUUCUUUCCAAUUCUUUUGUGUCAAGGUUUAAAAUAUUAGGGAACCUUAUAGUUCAUCAUUUGCAUUUUAGAUGUUGCAAAAGCAAAAUAAUUUGCAAUGUGGUACUCAUCACCCCUAUGACUUUAAUCACUAUAGUCCUGUUUCUACAUUUCUUUGCAAGUUAAAAUACAGUGUUAAGUUCAAACCAACAAAUGCCAUCUUUAUUCCAGCAUGUCUCAGAAAUCACUGUGGCUUCUAGAAUGUCUAAAUAUUCUAAAUUGAUGGACUUAGAAAAAAUUCACCUCCUGACUCCAGAGUCACAUGGAGCUGCACAACACUGAAUCAGGGAAAGGUAGCAAGAACACCAGAUAGAGAAGAAAAUACCUUCUUUAACAUGUGGAACCAAAAGCUACAACACUUAACAGGGAUUUUAAUUACACCAAUGUGCAAAGAGACAGCAAAGAUGUGUUGGGACUCUUGUAUUUGUCCUCUAUAGACAAACAGUGGGAAACAGUAGGAAACAGUUUUUCUGUCAUGCUUCAUUUUGUUUCUCUGAGUAUUUUUUCAUGGUUUAGGUUUGCUGAUGCUUUUGCUUUUGGAAAAUGCCCAGAAACUUCUAAAUGUUCUGGAAAGUCCUGGACCUGUGCAGGAGAUCCUGUUGUCUUGACCUGCAGAAGAACACUCACAAGAAGAUGAACAGAAGCACUUCCUCCUGUCUCUUCCAAUGAGAUCUUUAAUCUCUGUAUGCGGUUUAUGCCUGUGGCUUUCUGAGGAUACCUCAGCAUCUCCAACUACAGACCAUAAAAGAGAACCUGCAAGGUAGACCGAUAAGGCUGGUAAGCCAUCCUCACCACAUGUGGCAGGCUGUUUAAAAUAACUUAUAUUUUCUUAGUGAACUCUUACCUUUCAUUUUAAGAAAUACUUAAGAAAAAAACUAUUGCUUUUGUGCUUAAAGUAGUGCAGAGUGGAGUUUUCCAGCCACGUGGUUCAGUUGAUGCAUGCAGAGCCAGCUUUGCUCAGUUGGGGGAAAAACAGAGGUAUGGGGUCUGGACGAGGGGUAACGGUUUUAAACUGAAAGAGAAGAAAACUAUUGCUUUUGCGCUUAAGGUAGUGCAGAGUGGAGUUUUCCAGCCUCGUGGUUCAGGUGAUGCAUGCAGAACCAGCUUUGCUCUGUUGGGGGAAAAACAGAGCUAUGGGGUCUGGACGAGGGGUAAAGAUUUUAAACCUAAAGGGGGGAGAUUCAGAUGAGAUCUGGGGAAGAAACUGCUGUGAGGGUGGUGAGACACUGGCACAGGUUGCCCAGAGAAGCUGUGGCUGCCCCAUCCCUGGAGGGGUUCAAAGCCAGGCUGGAAGGGGCUUGGAGCAACCUGGCGUGAUGGGAGGUGUCCCUGCCCAGGGCAGGGGGAUGGAACUAGAUGGUCUUCCAACCCAAACCAUUCUAUGACUCUAUGAUUUUGGCAUCUUUGAAGGCUCUUUGAAGAGAGGUGGAGGUGCUGACCACUCAGAGGACUGACAAAGUGGAUUUUAAGCAAAGUUUGGGGAGAUUAGCCCAAAGAGAGGGAGAAAGCAGAGUGAAUGGGGAAGGCAGAAGUGAGCAGGAGUGGAGAGGAAGCUGCUCACAAGCACCCAGGGUGGAGGGUGCUUGGUACUCAGCUUCUUCCCCACGUGCUGACCUGCCAGGCCAUGCAUCAGGCAAGAGCCGGAGGCCAAUGCACUCUCUCAGGAUGACGGAACAGAUUUAUUUACUUUUGGUCUAUAGAAAGCAAAAAAAAAACAAAAACCCAGGUCAAAUAUUGAAAACAUUUCUCAAAAAAAUGUAAUGUUCUUGUUUUCAAGUGCUGGGUUGGACGAUGAGGCAUUGUCUUCACAUGCAAACAAUCCUUAGCUUCUGCAGGGCUCUCUGCAUCACUAGUCAAAUUCUCUGCUUGGAAACUAGACUUUCUAGAAAUUUUUUUUCAUCUGCCCAAAGGCUUUACUUUCUCCACUUAAUCUACUGCUGAUCUCUUCAACAUAGUAAACAUACCCAUCUUCUCACAGGGUUGACUUCAGUUUUGAUGUUUAUGUAUCUGCAGAAGAGCAGACACAGUUGUAUACAUUAGAGAGUUUAGCUUGAAAACUGUUGUGUUGUUCUUUAUGGGAUAGAUUCUUUCUUCCUUUCUCCCGCAAAGCUGUAAGAGAAUAAAAAGAAAUUACCUUUCA